rnacentral:rRNA from 1 species
UACGUAGGGCGCAAGCGUUAUCCGGAAUUAUUGGGCGUAAAGAGCUCGUAGGCGGUUUGUCGCGUCUGCUGUGAAAGACCGGGGCUCAACUCCGGUUCUGCAGUGGGUACGGGCAGACUAGAGUGAUGUAGGGGGAGACUGGAAUUCCUGGUGUAGCGGUGAAAUGCGCAGAUAUCAGGAGGAACACCGAUGGCGAAGGCAGGUCUCUGGGCAUUAACUGACGCUGAGGAGCGAAAGCAUGGGGGAGCGAACAGG